AAGCAACCUAAUAUAGUAUGAUAUUGAUCCGGUUGGGGAUUUCGGCCUUUCAAAAUUGAAGCAUUCAACCUUUUUAUCUGCUAGAUCCGGGGGAGGGACGCCUCAAUGGAUAGCACAUGAAGUUCUUCGUAACGAACCUUCAAACGAGCUGUAAGAUUCAGUUAGCAUCUUGAAAUUAGUCAAUUGAGAAUAUGAGUUCCAAGAUAAUAUAAACUUUUACUGCAUUCAACAUUUUAAUCGUUUUAUUUCAAAAUAAUAUUAUUUUUGAAAAAGUAGACUAUUUCACACACCAAAAAAAUUGUUAAGAAAUAAAUUAUUGGUUCAUGGCAGAAAGUCCUUCGGGUUAUCCCAACCCGAAACAUUUGAGAAUAUGGUUGUCUUUAAAGGCAAAUAGUGUUGUUGUUAUUAUUUUUAUUAUUUUGUUUUGAUUAUUUUUGGGUGAGCUGGGAUUGAAGUUUGGGGAUUAUUGAUUCAUCUUAUUCAUGAGAUGAAUCUGAUGGUGAAGUUUAUGUAUAUCUUCUUGGUGUUGCAAGCGUACGCCAUUGUUGGUUCUUUGGUUGUUCAAGAAUCUUCAGGUGAUCAUUUCCAUUUUUACCCUUCUCAAAGUUUUGUUUUUUUAGCUUAUGAUUUAAAUCUACCAUGAUAUUCAUCAGGUUGGGGAUUUCGGUCUUUUAAAAUUGAAGCAUGCAACCUUUUUAUCUGCUAGAUCCGGGGAGGGACGCCUCAAUGGAUGGCACCUGAAGUUCUUCGUAACGAACCUUCAAACGAGAAGUAUACGCCAUUGUUGGUUCUUUGGUUGUUCAAGAAUCUUCAGGUGAUAUUAAUUCUAGGAAUUAUUGUUGUCACACCCCCAAAAUCCCACACGCGGAGUACCACCGCUUGGGAGCGUGACAUGACCAGGAUCUUAACCACCAAUCAUAUUGAACCUGUAAUAUAGUUAAGUA